CCUACGGGAGGCAGCAGUGGGGAAUAUUGCACAAUGGGGGAAACCCUGAUGCAGCGACGCCGCGUGUGGGAAGACGGUCUUCUGGAUUGUAAACCACUGUCCCCAGGGACGAAAAUGACGGUACCUGGGGAGAAAGCUCCGGCUAACUACGUGCAAGCAGCCGCGGUAAUACGUAGGGAGCAAGCGUUGUACGGAAUUACUGGGGGUAAAGGGAGCGUAGGCGGGGAUGCAAGUUGGGUGGCAAAACUACCGGAUCAACCGAUAGUCGCACUCAAAACUGCAGCUAUUAGGUGAAGUAGAGGCAGGCGGAAUUCCUAGUGUCGCGGUGAAAUGCGUAGAUAUUAGGAGGGACACCAGUGGCGAAGGCGGCCUGCUGGGCUUUUACUGACGCUGAGGCUCGAAAGUGUGGGGAGCAAACAGGAUUAGAUACCCCGGUAGUC
rnacentral:rRNA from 1 species